UACAGAGGGGGCAAGCGUUGUUCGGAAUUACUGGGCGGAAAGGGCGCGUAGGCGGCCAACUAAGUCGAACGUGAAAUCCCCGGGCUCAACCCGGGAACUGCGUCCGAUACUGGUUGGCUUGAAUCCGGGAGAGGGAUGCGGAAUUCCAGGUGUAGCGGUGAAAUGCGUAGAUAUCUGGAGGAACACCGGUGGCGAAGGCGGCAUCCUGGACCGGCAUUGACGCUGAGGCGCGAAAGCCAGGGGAGCAAACGGG
rnacentral:rRNA from 1 species